rnacentral:tRNA from 1 species
UGGCUCAAUGGUAGAGCGUUCGACUCAAAUACCAAAGGUCCCGGGUUCGAAUCCCUG